GGCACGGUGGCACAGUGGUUAGCCUCACUGCAAGAAGGUUGCAGGUUCGAAUCCGGCCUGCGGCC